GGAAAAGAAAAUAGAAUUCUCCAGAUUGAGAAUUGAAUUGCCACCAAGUUGUAACGUUCGUGUGAGAAGAAUUGAAUUCCUUUUGGGAAAAGAAGAAUUUGACUAGCCAUGUGACAGAACCGUUAGAAUAGUACCGUUAUUGGAAUUGGAAUUCUCUAUAAAAGGAAAUAGAGAGUAGAGACUAUGUAGCAGAGUAUGCAAGAGAGAGCCACGAACAGGCAGUGCAUAUACGAGAGAGAUAAAGCCUCGUGUGAAAAAAAGAAAGAAUUGGGACUGUUGCAGCCGUGUGACAAAGAGGAAAAGACUCGUUAUUGAUAGAAGAGUGGUACUGUUAAAGUGCUUUUAUUUGGCUGAAAUUACAAUGUGUGAAUCAUAUCAGUGAGCUGAGGAAGCAUGCCUAGCAGUGAAAAAUAUACAAAGUGGUGCAUGAAACAUUACGGAUAGAAAACCCACAUCAGAAGAUUAUGAUCAAUCUUUCUUUUUGUAAUAAAGAAGAAAGAAGGCACAUAGUGAGAAGGUAUCAAAACUCACACACCCCAGGCCCAAAGCUCGAUGAGGACAACAAGGAGUCUAGGGUGAUCAAUACUUGACUAGGGCGAGAAGAACAUGACUAUUAGGGGGAAAUUGGGACUUGUGUACAAGGGCUGGAGAAGAAUAGGCCAAAAGAGCUUGAAAGGUAUCCAAAAUCAGUGUUCGAUCACGUUUUCUUCUUCAGUAGCAGCAGACUUUUGUUUUGAUGGCUGGCAGGUUCCUAGUUUUGUUAGUUUUAAUGUUUGGAUGGGUGUCUUUGUUUGCUUGUUUCUUAAUUAGUAGGUUUAUGUAAAGAUCUAGAGCUCUUUCUAGAUUAAAAAAGAAUUAUUCAUCAA